rnacentral:rRNA from 1 species
GGGGGGGGGGGGGGGGGGGGGGGGGGGGGGGGGGGGGGGGGGGGGCGGAGGAGGGGGGGGCUGUUGCGGGGGGCGAGGGGCGGACGGGGGGGGAGUACGUGGGAAUCUGCUUUGUCGUGGGGGGUCAGGUGGGGAAACUUACGCUAAUACCGCCUACGGCCUCCGGGUGAAAGCAGGGGAUCUUGGGACCUUGCGCGAUUGAAUGAGCCGAUGUCGGAUUAGCUAGUUGGCGGGGUAAAGGCCCACCAAGGCGACGAUCCGUAGCUGGUCUGAGAGGAUGAUCAGCCACACUGGAACUGAGACACGGUCCAGACUCCUACGGGAGGCAGCAGUGGGGAAUAUUGGACAAUGGGCGCAAGCCUGAUCCAGCCAUACCGCGUGGGUGAAGAAGGCCUUCGGGUUGUAAAGCCCUUUUGUUGGGAAAGAAAAGCAGCAGGUUAAUACCCCGCUGUUCUGACGGUACCCAAAGAAUAAGCACCGGCUAACUUCGUG